rnacentral:rRNA from 1 species
ACGGGGUGCAGCAGGCGCGAAAACUUUACAAUGUGGGAAACCGUGAUAAGGGGACACCGAGUGCCAGCAUCAUAUGCUGGCUGUCCGGAUGUGUAAAAUACAUCCGUUAGCAAGGGCCGGGCAAGACCGGUGCCAGCCGCCGCGGUAACACCGGCGGCCCGAGUGGUGAUCGUGAUUAUUGGGUCUAAAGGGUCCGUAGCCGGUUUGGUCAGUCCUCCGGGAAAUCUGAUAGCUCAACUAUUAGGCUUUCGGGGGAUACUGCCAGACUUGGAACCGGGAGAGGUAAGAGGUACUACAGGGGUAGGAGUGAAAUCUUGUAAUCCCUGUGGGACCACCUGUGGCGAAGGCGUCUUACCAGAACGGGUUCGACGGUGAGGGACGAAAGCUGGGGGCACGAACCGGAUUAGAUACCCGGGUAGUCCCAGCCGUAAACGAUGCUCGCUAGGUGUCAGGCAUGGUGCGACCGUGUCUGGUGCCGCAGGGAAGCCGUGAAGCGAGCCACCUGGGAAGUACGGCCGCAAGGCUGAAACUUAAAGGAAUUGGCGGGGGAGCAC